rnacentral:rRNA from 1 species
AUUGAACGCUGGCGGCAGGCCUAACACAUGCAAGUCGAGCGGACGAAGGGAGCUUGCUCCUGGAUUCAGCGGCGGACGGGUGAGUAAUGCCUAGGAAUCUGCCUGGUAGUGGGGGAUAACGUCCGGAAACGGGCGCUAAUACCGCAUACGUCCUGAGGGAGAAAGUGGGGGAUCUUCGGACCUCACGCUAUCAGAUGAGCCUAGGUCGGAUUAGCUAGUUGGUGGGGUAAAGGCCUACCAAGGCGACGAUCCGUAACUGGUCUGAGAGGAUGAUCAGUCACACUGGAACUGAGACACGGUCCAGACUCCUACGGGAGGCAGCAGUGGGGAAUAUUGGACAAAGGGCGAAAGCCUGAUCCAGCCAUGCCGCGUGUGUGAAGAAGGUCUUCGGAUUGUAAAGCACUUUAAGUUGGGAGGAAGGGCAGUAAGUUAAUACCUUGCUGUUUUGACGUUACCAACAGAAUAAGCACCGGCUAACUUCGUG